rnacentral:sRNA from 1 species
AAAUAAUCACCAUAGAUACAAUAAAUGCAAAUAAUCAUCAUUACAAGCAUGCUUGAUUAUUCUGAGAAAAUUCUGUACUCUUUCUUCCUUCGUUUCAUUCAUGUUC